GACGGAGGGUGCAAGCGUUGCUCGGAAUCAUUGGGCGUAAAGGGUGCGUAGGCGGCUUUUUAAGUCUGACGUGAAAGCCCAAGGCUCAGCCUUGGAAGUGCGCCAGAAACUGGAAGGCUCGAGUGCCGGAGGGGAGAGUGGAAUUCCUGGUGUAGCGGUGAAAUGCGUAGAUAUCAGGAGGAAUACCGGUGGCGAAAGCGACUCUCUGGACGGUAACUGACGCUGAGGCACGAAAGCGUGGGGAGCAAACAGG
rnacentral:rRNA from 1 species